rnacentral:rRNA from 1 species
AUUGAACGCUGGCGGCAGGCCUAACACAUGCAAGUCGAGCGGAUGAAGGGAGCUUGCUCCUGGAUUCAGCGGCGGACGGGUGAGUAAUGCCUAGGAAUCUGCCUGGUAGAGGGGGAUAACGUCCGGAAACGGGCGCUAAUACCGCAUACGUCCUGAGGGAGAAAGUGGGGGAUCUUCGGACCUCACGCUAUCAGAUGAGCCUAGGUCGGAUUAGCUAGUUGGUGGGGUAAAGGCCUACCAAGGCGACGAUCCGUAACUGGUCUGAGAGGAUGAUCAGUCACACUGGAACUGAGACACGGUCCAGAGUCCUACGGGAGGCAGCAGUGGGGAAUAUUGGACGAUGGGCGAAAGACUGAUCCAGCCGUGCCGCGUGUGUGAAGAAGGUCUUCGGAUGGUAAAGCACUUUAAGUUGGGAGGAAGGGCAGUAAGUUAAUACCUUGCUGUUUUGACGUUACCAACAGAAUAAGCACCGGCUAACUUCGUG